rnacentral:snRNA from 1 species
GUGCUAAGCAUUGGCAGCACAUAUACUAAAAUUGGGACAAUACAGAGAAGAUGAGCAGGACCCCUGCACAAGAGUAACACAGAAAUUCUUGAAACGUUUCAUGUUUUU